UGGUGCUGACUCGGCUCCCCCUACCCCACCUUGUGCUCCAUCAGGAAUCUCUGCAUUGUUUUGUGGGCACGCUGAGUACUAGCGCAUAUAUAGUAUAUGUCAUUUCUCUCUGCAUUUCUUUGCACCUGUUAGAUUUGGAUUGGAGAAACUUUUUUUUUAAAAAAAUGGUUUGGAUUGGAGAUGAGCAACGGCUGCAUGCACACAAAACAACACAACACAGGUGUAUGUAGGCCGGUGUAGGUGGUCUAGGAUUCUUGCGUCGGCGUCAGCGUCUUGAUAGGUUCACAAGUCCCAAUGCCCAAUAUUUUGUCAGCGUCUAAUCUUUCAAAAACAAAACAAAAAAAAUGUCAGCCU
rnacentral:lncRNA from 1 species